CUUCCUUUGCUGCCUUGCUAACCGCAGGGAGUAAGAGGCAGAACUGCUUGACCACCGGUCUCUCUCACAGCCUUGGCAGACAACAGUGCGAAACCUUUCCUUCCUCCCGCUCAGUAAGGAAAUGACUGUGUCUUUGGACUGCCUUUGGGCGGCUGGCAUGUGCGUGAGUGUGGCUGCACGUGGGCGUGGCCACGCGCACACAUGAGUGACCCAGUCUGGCGAGGGGGUUGGUCUUCCCCCAGAGGCACGAGGUCCCAGACUUUGGAAUCACCCUUCAUAUGUUUUCUGAUCAAAUUCUCGGAGAUGGAUUCUUGGCAUCUCGUCUAGGCGCUGCAAGCCACCGUUCCCCGCUGACCUGUCCUUAAGUCUUCUUUUAAGAGUAUGCGGUGACUCUAGCAAAGCUGAGAACAAGUGAAGUGCUGGCCAGGUGGAGGCCUCUCUGGGCAGGGGUGUUUCCUGCCAGGCCCACAUCCCUCGCCGUCACCCCCCUCAUCUCUGCCAUCAGCACUCAGGUGCCCGGGACGGCGUGGAUGCUUCACGUCCAUCGCAGGCUUUGAGCUUCUUGGCAGAGAGAUAAGGUGCAGGCUCGCGUUGUGAGCCGGCUGCUUAACCUUCCUCAAGCAGGCAGGCCCUAUAGUUGACACAUGCGGGCUCUCGUCAUGUGCACCGUCUCCCAUCCGAGUAGGGCUUUGGUAUUCAGUCUGCACACGCCUGUCUCUUCAUUACCUAUGGCAUGACCUACAGUUUAUUCCGAUUUUGCUGUAAGUAUCUGAACGUGGCCAGCUCCAGGGACUGCAAAGAAAGCAGGCAAUUUUUCAAAGGCAACACAGUGCUGGAGCCCUGAGGUAGAAAUUGUGCAGGAGACGUUCUUCUUCUUCCUCCCCUUUUUUUAAAAUAAAUAUUUCUCUCUGCUAAUAAAUGUUUCAUUGCAUCCAAAGUUCUCCUUUUCAAUCUACUUGGCACGGACACUCAAGGAGGAGGAGAACAAAGCAGGCAGAAGGGAGAGGUGGCAGGAACGGAGGGCAGAAACUGGGGAAACCAGUGGCAGAUUUUAAAAAUUUCUCUCUGAAACAACUGAAUGGAUUCAUCCUUACUGCAGAACCA